GAUGAACGCUGACAGAAUGCUUAACACAUGCAAGUCUACUUGAACUUCGGUUUGGGUGGCGGACGGGUGAGUAACGCGUAAAGAACUUGCCUCACAGAUAGGGACAACAUUUGGAAACGAAUGCUAAUACCUGAUAUUAUGAUUUUAGGGCAUCCUAGAAUUAUGAAAGCUAUAUGCACUGUGAGAGAGCUUUGCGUCCCAUUAGCUAGUUGGAGAGGUAACGGCUCACAAAGGCGAUGAUGGGUAGCCGGCCUGAGAGGGUGAUCGGCCACAAGGGGACUGAGACACGGCCCUUACUCCUACGGGAGGCAGCAGUGGGGAAUAUUGGACAAUGGACCAAGAGUCUGAUCCAGCAAUUCUGUGUGCACGAUGAAGUUUUUCGGAAUGUAAAGUGCUUUCAGUUGGGAAGAAAAAAAUGACGGUACCAACAGAAGAAGUGACGGCUAAAUACGUG
rnacentral:rRNA from 1 species